rnacentral:rRNA from 1 species
AAUGGACGAAAGUCUGACGCAGCAACGCCGCGUGGGUGAUGAAGGUCUUCGGAUCGUAAAGCCCUGUCGGAAGAGAAAAUGGUUUUGUAUAAUAAUAAGAUAUGAAAUUGAUGGUAUCUUUAAAGGAAGCACCGGCUAACUCUGUGCCAGCAGCCGCGGUAAUACAGAGGGUGCAAGCGUUGUUCGGAAUUAUUGGGCGUAAAGGGAGUGUAGGCGGCCAUGCAAGUCUCAUGUGAAAGCUCCGAGCUUAUCUUGGAAAGAGCAUGAGAAACUGCAUAGCUAGAGUAACGAAGAGGAGAGCGGAAUUCCCGGUGUAGAGGUGAAAUUCGUAGAGAUCGGGAGGAACACCACUGGCGAAAGCGGCUCUCUGGUCGAGAACUGACGCUGAGACUCGAAAGCAUGGGGAGCAAA